GUCCCUUCGGGACAUCCAAUAAAAUUGGAACGAUACAGAAAAGAUUAGCAUGACCACUACGCAAGGGUGACACACACAAAUCGAGAAAUGGUCCCAUUUUUU